AUUGAACGCUGGCGGCAGGCCUAACACAUGCAAGUCGAGCGGUUGAGGGGAGCUUGCUCCCUGAUUCAGCGGCGGACGGGUGAGUAAUGCCUAGGAAUCUGCCUAUUAGUGGGGGACAACGUUUCGAAAGGAACGCUAAUACCGCAUACGUCCUACGAGAGAAAGCAGGGGACCUUCGGGCCUUGGGCUCAUAGACGAGCCUAGGUGGCAUUAGCUAGUUGGUGAGGUAAUGGCUCACCAAGGCGACGAUCCGUAACUGGUCUGAGAGGAUGAUCAGUCACACUGGAACUGAGACACGGUCCAGACUCCUACGGGAGGCAGCAGUGGGGAAUAUUGGACAAUGGGCGAAAGCCUGAUCCAGCCAUGCCGCGUGUGUGAAGAAGGUCUUCGGAUUGUAAAGCACUUUAAGUUGGGAGGAAGGGUUGUAGAUUAAUACUCUGCAAUUUUGACGUUACCGACAGAAUAAGCACCGGCUAACUCUGUGCCAGCCGCCGCGGUAAGAC
rnacentral:rRNA from 1 species